GGCUCAGGACGAACGCUGGCGGCGUGCCUAAUACAUGCAAGUCGAACGGUCUUUUCUAUGGAAGCUUGCUUCCACUGAGAAGAUAGUGGCGAACGGGUGAGUAACACGUGGGUAACCUGCCCAUAAGAGGGGGAUAACAUCCGGAAACGGGUGCUAAUACCGCAUAGUUUUCUUGAUUGCAUGAUUGAGAAAGGAAAGACGGCCUUUGUGCUGUCGCUUAUGAAUGGACCCGCGGCGUAUUAGUUAGUUGGUGAGGUAACGGCUCACCAAGACGAUGAUACGUAGCCGACCUGAGAGGGUGAUCGGCCACAUUGGGACUGAGACACGGCCCAAACUCCUACGGGAGGCAGCAGUAGGGAAUCUUCCGCAAUGGACGAAAGUCUGACGGAGCAACGCCGCGUGAGUGAAGAAAGGUUUUCGGAUCGUAAAACUCUGUUGUCAGAGAAGAACAAGUUGGAGAGUAACUGCUCCAGCCUUGACGGUAUCUGACCAGAAAGCCACGGCUAACUACGUGCCAGCCGCUGC
rnacentral:rRNA from 1 species